ACUCAAAUGAAUUGACGGGGGCCCGCACAAGCGGUGGAGCAUGUGGUUUAAUUCGAUGCAACGCGAAAAACCUUACCUGGGUUAGACAACGCAGGACAGCCGUAGAGAUACGGUUUCCCCUUCGGGGGCCUGCGGUUCAGGUGCUGCAUGGCUGUCGUCAGCUCGUAUCGUGAGAUGUCGGGUUAAGUCCCUUAACGAGCGCAACCCCUAUCCCUAGUUGCCACCAUUCAGUUGGGCACUCUAAGGAGACCGCCGGUGUUAAACCGGAGGAAGGUGGGGACGACGUCAAGUCCUCAUGGCCCUUAUAUCCAGGGCUACACACGUGCUACAAUGGCCAGUACAAAGGGUAGCCAACCCGCGAGGGGGAGCUAAUCUCAUAAAGCUGGUCUCAGUUCGGAUUGAAGUCUGCAACUCGACUUCAUGAAGCUGGAAUCGCUAGUAAUCGCGGAUCAGCACGCCGCGGUGAAUACGUUCCCGGGCCUUGCACACACCGCCCGU
rnacentral:rRNA from 1 species